GUUCAGGAUUUAAAAAGGGAACCCUUCCAGUCCUCAAAACAAAAUGUAUUACUUCUGUGCUGAGGAAGAUUGAGCAGAAUCAGGAGUUAAGCUGGGAUCCUUGGCAAGUGACCCUCUGCUCUUAACAUGAGGCUGAACAGUCCCAGCUCUCUCAGCCUGUCGUCAGAAAGGGUGCUGCAGUGAUUUCCUUAUCUAGGUGGCCCUCCCUUGGACUCUCUCCAGUACGUCCAUGUCUCUUUUGUACCUGUGUAUGUAUGUGCAAAACUGGACACAGGAAGAGUCUGACUGAGAUCCCAUGUCCAAGUCUGCAAGAAGAGUGUGGAACUCUGGCUUACAGAUGUGAAUUGUGUGGCCUAAAUCUUGUGCAUGUCCUCUGGAAAGGAAACAAAUGAGAGAGCUCACCACUUUGUCUACAGAUGCCAAUUACAUAAGAAGAUACGUACACUGGUUUACUUCAGUAAUUUAUCUGGUUCCUGAAAAUGUUUCAGAUGCUACAGUUGUUGGAGUUGUGCCUUUUAAUUCAAGAGCAAAAGGAUUGGAGUUUUACAUACUAUUUAUACGUGAAUAUCUUCAGAUGUAGAUACAUCACUCGUGGUGGAUAAAUGGGUUUUCAAUCUUCGGACAUAAUUUUUAAGAACACAGUUUUUCAAGUUAGAUUUAGAACACACAUUCAGUGUUAAUAAGGGAAUAGCAAAGUAUUCCAGGAAUAAAAAAAAAAAAAAAAAAAGGAAGCAAAUAUUAUAGCCAUAUUCACAUCCUCAUAUUUGUCUUAAAUUAGAUCAAUAGUUCCAAAUAUCCCGUGAACUGUAGUUCUAUCAAAUCUGUAAGAUAAACUUGAUUAAGUUGGAAGAACUGAAGAUUGUUUUAGGUGUGUAAGGAGGCUUUUAUAUUCAAAUGUUGACAGAAAAAUGCAUUGGCAUCUGGUUCACUGAGGAAAUUGAAAACAUAGUCGAAGUUAACUUAUCCCCAUUCAUUAUGCAGUUAGCAAGCAACUUAAAAGGUUGGCAAGCUCUACCUCUUUCCCUCUAGGGAAAAAUAAACAUAAACUUAAAGUGAAUGCACUUCCUAGGAUCCUGUUUAUUUUAAGUGUCCUCUUUAUUCCAGAUUCUUAUUUUACCAAAAUCAGCAUGCUGAAUACCUCUUAGUGAAGCAUUGAUUGUAAACCUGUACUCUCCUCACAAUAUUAUCAGAAUGGACAGAUUUCUCAAACCCUUGUCCUAUCACCCUACAAAAACUCUCAGUUAGACAAUACAACUGUGUGAUUUGUGGGUAAGGCAGUGUUAAGAGCCCUAAAUUGGCAUUAAAUGGAAUAGGGAUUGUUUGCUCCUUUUCAUCUCAUUGAACAUACAGACUGUUGGGCUGUGUUUAUACUGCUAAGUUGAUUCAAGCCUUGGGGCUGAAUAGUGCUGACUGGCUUUGCAUCCCCACUCUGCAAGGUCAACUCCCUCUAGAACUGACUUUUAUUGAAAACUGGCGCGGCCCACAACAGAGUGAAGGAGAGCGCUAAGAAUUAAGCAAUAGGACAAUAAGUGUGAAUGUCUGAGCUCAUUCCUUGUUCCUUGUUUGUUUAGAUAUGCCCUAAAGAAAAAUAAAUAAAAAAAAAAAAA